rnacentral:rRNA from 1 species
CCUACGGGAGGCAGCAGUGAGGAAUAUUGGUCAAUGGACGAGAGUCUGAACCAGCCAAGUAGCGUGAAGGAUGACUGCCCUAUGGGUUGUAAACUUCUUUUAUAUGGGAAUAAAAUGUUCCACGUGUGGGAUUUUGUAGGUACCAUAUGAAUAAGGAUCGGCUAACUCCGUGCCAGCCGCCGCGGUAAUACGGAGGAUCCGAGCGUUAUCCGGAUUUAUUGGGUUUAAAGGGAGCGUAGGUGGAUUGUUAAGGCAGUUGUGAAAGUUUGCGGCUCAACCGUAAAAUUGCAGUUGAAACUGGCAGUCUUGAGUACAGUAGAGGUGGGCGGAAUUCGUGGUGUAGCGGUGAAAUGCUUAGAUAUCACGAAGAACUCCGAUUGCGAAGGCAGCUCACUGGACUGCAACUGACACUGAGGCUCGAAAGUGUGGGUAUCAAACAGGAUUAGAUACCCGGGUAGUC